rnacentral:ncRNA from 2 species
GAAGCACAAAACCUCCGAGCCUGCUCUGCCUAAGGGCGAUUCGCCUAUGGCGUCAGGCCGAUAGGGCGUCUUUGGAAACGGAGAUGUCCUCCCGUGUUUGGAAAGGAGGGAAUAAUAUGCCUUC